ACGAACAUGAUAGGACUUCGAAUUGAGGACCGUUUGUGUAAUGACAGUCAUUGUAGUUGUCUCACAGUUUAAUGUUUCAUUUCAGUUUUUGUGAACUAUUUUUUUUUUCGUUUUACUGCACUUGUUGAAUGUUUUUUUCGGGUGAGAAUAACAGAUCGCGCGAGUCAGUUGAGCCUACAUUCCUCCACCUUUUCACGCAUGAAAGAGCAACUUUCAGUGCAAUUUAUGCUCAUUUUCAGUUUGAUUUUAGAGACAGAACUACAUUGGUUGGAUUGGCGACAUUCAGGGCUUCACAAAAAGUAUAUUUUGUACCAAUCUGCACGGAAUAAUGAAGACAGACUUGGCUGUAUGGAUCAAUCAUUUGACAGCAUGUCAGAUGCAUGUAUAGAGUGUGGACUGCUUGAUGUACAAAUGAUUUUGAUGUAAUCAGUCAAUGUUCUCUCAUUAUCGGAUCAUCCAUAAUGGCAUCAAAAUCUCAGAGAGCCCGUUAUGCAUCUCCUGGCAAUCCAACAGGUGAAAAACACCGCCAGAGGAGGCAGUUAGAUGUACCUCUGAGACAGGAUGGUGGCAAAAGUGAAAAGG